rnacentral:lncRNA from 1 species
AAAAGAAAGAGAUGGAAUACUCAGCAACUGAUCGUAAAGAAUGGAACAAAGCCACGUUACCAAGCACUUAUGUUUCAUAAUGUCAAUGUUACAAACUGGCUUAUGAAUCAACAACAAAUACAAAAGGCUGGUCCAUCUUCAAGAUCGUCAAACAUGGAUAAUUCACUCAAUUAAUCCUACAAGAAUCUUGUCUGAUUCAGAAAUUGGUCAUCUCUUCACUUGGUGAAAGAAAACCAUAGAAGCGUUUUGACAAUCUUCGCAAGUCAAACAUUUUUUUUCAACAACAUCAUAUCACUUCAAACAGAAAACAUUUGAUAACACUUUGAUGUGUCCAUGUAGCUAACAAGAAUAUUUCUUGUGUUAUCUCAACCAAAAAGAUAUCAUUCAGUUCAUGAAUUGAAGUCUGGCUCUUAAAAGUAGGCAAUGACAUCAAGUGACAUCCUUUUGAGAAACAAGAAGAAAGCAAACAACAAGCUGAACCCUUGUAUGUCCAAAACAUCAACUUAUGCCAAGUACUGUCAUAUCCAUAACUUUCCAUUAACCAUAAUAAAAUAUCAGAAAACCCCAUGCCAGUAAUGGAAAUCUGUUUUAUAAUUCUAUAUCACAACCAGUUUAUAUAUCAUUGGGGUUACGUACAACUUAUUCCACCAUUGGGGCUUAAUGUAUCCUUCUAAAAUAUAUCAUUUAUCUUAACUUUAAGACAAAAAGGAGAUAACAGUACAAGCUUUAAAAAUACACACAUA